UUGCACUGCAUUUUUGAUGUGUUGCGGGAAAACAAACAAACAAACAAACAAAACCUCAAGUCCUUUGUGUUUCAGCUAGAUCCAAGUUGGGGAAAUGUUAAGUAGAAACACUUAACAAACUGUAUCUUUCGAAAGCGUGUUUUAAUGCCAAAACAGGAAGAAAACAGAAUUUGAAACAGUUCCCAAUGUUUGAUCGGCCUUUUUUUGGUUUGUGUGAGAAACUUGCGGUCCAGGCUGUAACAUAACAAAGGGCUCGGUAGGAGGGAUGAAAAAGAUCAAAAAGAGGAAAAAGAAACUUCUUUCAAAACGUCGCUGCUGAUCAUAAGUAGCUGUAGGAGUCAGAUAUCUGCAUGAAAUUGAAACCACUUCACCUUCUGAGACAUGCGUUUUCCCUCUGCUCUGGGUUAUAACUUAGGCACGGACCGUAGCAGGGUUCAUGCUGCCUCUGCCGGCUGCUGCUCUGGCUUCCCCCGUGUGUUCUCAGGGCAUUUCACUUGCGUUUGUAGUACCUUCAAAAGGGAAGCUGGGCAAAGAAGAAAGUAAAACUAGCCUGGUAAAAACAGCCAGUGCCCUGCUUGUUUGUGUGAUGACAGACGGUGCCGCGCUGGUCACUGCGGCCUCAUGAGAAAGUUGAGCUCUGGGUGUGUGAGCAGAGGUGAGGAGGAGGAGGAGGAAGAGUUUGUGUCCCCGUGCCACACAGCAGGACAAACGGCCAUGGAGACAGUGCCUGGGGUGUUCAAAGGGACUCAGGACCAAGAUGAGGGGCACCAAACCUGUGUUUUUUGCAGCUCUGCA